rnacentral:misc_RNA from 1 species
GAAAAAUGAAGUUUUAAAAAUGACUGGAGCACAGGUUCCUCCUAGUUUUGUAAACAAACCUCCCAGGGGGUGGUUGCAUUCAGACCAUCUAUUCGCUAAGGAUGGAAUAAACUACGCUGUACGGUAUGUCGGACACCUCAAUGUAUUGACAAGUAUGAAAAUCCUGGAUUUUGACACAAGGUCUGCGAUUGCCAAGGAGAGUAUUAGUCGAGUAUGUGAGGAGAGUCAAUCUUUGUCUGAACACCAGAUAGAGGAUAGAAGGAGAAGAGUGGAUAGAAGGAUAUCUAGUAUACUGGGGGAUAGGGUGGUCGUAUCUAGGAGUGGAGCUAAUGUACAGUUAACUAUUACUUCACUUUGUCUCAGAUUAUCAGAUUUAGAUAAUGGAAGUGUACUGCUGCAACAUGAAAUGCCAAUGAUCAGUUUUGCCAGCGGUGGAGACUCUGAUAGUCUUGAUUAUAUUGCCUAUGUUGCCAAGGAUAGUUCAGGGGGAAGAGCUUGCUAUGUUCUGGAGUGCGAGGGUGGACUAGCUCAGGAUGUUAUUACUACAAUAGGACAGGCAUUUGAACUUAGGUUUAAAGAAUUUUUAAAGAAGACCCCAGGGUCCCGCCCACCUCCUCUGCCCGCCCUAAGACACGCCCCCCUACCUGACGAGGUGGAAUACUACAACGAUCUGCCUGGGAAGACUCCGCCCUCCUCCAACCUGAUAGAUUUUAAUACAGAGAUACCAUACGCUCCAGAGUAUACUAACGGAGAGAUACAGGAUCAGAGAACUGGUCGGCAUAGAGAUCCGUUCGACAUGAGUCCGUUUGCUCUAAACCCUCCUGGAGGGGGUAUACCCUCACCUGUUACCCCAACACCUAUUACCAGCUCAGGGAUGAGAGCUCAGCUAGGGAAGGAGGAAUGGUUUCAUGGUCCUAUCUCCAGGAAGGAUGCUGAAUGUUUACUAAAGAAAGAUGGGGAUUUCCUGGUCAGAGAAUCACAGGGUAGUAAAGGUCAGUAUGUUCUGACCGGUAUGCAGGGUUCCAGCAGAAAGCAUUUACUCCUGGUUGACCCUGAGGGUAUAGUCAGAACCAGGGAUAGAACAUUCUCCAGUGUUACUCAUCUUAUUGAGUAUCACAGGAACAACAACCUUCCAAUCAUAUCCGCGGAGUCAGCGCUCAGACUUCAACGCUCGGUUUCUAAACUCAGAAACUGAGUUGAACGUAGCAUAACACGCUAGCGUAGAUUCCAGCCUACAGUAAGUUCCUAUAAAUAUGAGACAUAAUAGCGUAUUUUAGACUGAUUCAAACAAUUAAGAAUUAGCUUAGUCUGUUUAUUGGAGCUACCUGUAAAAAAAAUUUAAGUGUUCCGUGUGAAAUCAAAAUAACUAAAAUAGGUUUUCAUAUAUCUCUGCAGUUUGUAGGGAUAUAAAUAUUGUAUUUACAUACUAUGUAACAAAAAUAUGUGUUAAAUAUGUCAACAUUAUGCCAAUCUUGAAAAAUUUUGUAAUUCGACUUGAAGGAUAGUGUAAUGCCAAGAUAGUAUUACUUUCUUACAUUUUGUAAUUUGAUAUAAAAACUAAUUUCAUGUAAUCCAUAAUAUUAGAUUAAAAAUCGGAAUUGUUAACAGCUUGACUUACUGAAAAUUAUAUGCGUUAAAAAGUUCUUCUAUAUUUUUAGAAUAUUUUAGUAAUUUAAUGUGUACUGUGUGUAUGCUGUAUAUGUUAUUAAUGUGAAAAAUAUAUACUUGUAGAAAACUAAAUAUUUAAUAAAGUGGCAUUACCGAUU